rnacentral:rRNA from 1 species
CCCUUAGAUGUUCUGGGCCGCACGCGCGCUACACUGAUGCAUUCAACAAGCCUAGCCUUGACCGAGAGGUCCGGGUAAUCUUUGAAACUGCAUCGUGAUGGGGCUAGAUUAUUGCAAUUAUUAAUCUUCAACGAGGAAUGCCUAGUAAGCGUGAUUCAUCAAAUCGCGUUGAUUACGUCCCUGCCCUUUGUACACACCGCCCGUCGCUCCUACCGAUUGAAUGUGUUGGUGAGGAACUCGGAUUGGCAGCAGUUGGUGGUUCGCCACCGGCUAUUGCUGAGAAGUCCUCCAAACCGCCCCAUUUAGAGGAAGGAGAAGUCGUAACA